rnacentral:rRNA from 1 species
AACGAACGCUGGCGGCAGGCUUAACACAUGCAAGUCGAACGCCCCGCAAGGGGAGUGGCAGACGGGUGAGUAACGCGUGGGAACAUACCCUUUUCUACGGAAUAGCUCUGGGAAACUGGAAUUAAUACCGUAUACGCCCUACGGGGGAAAGAUUUAUCGGGGAAGGAUUGGCCCGCGUUGGAUUAGCUAGUUGGUGGGGUAAAGGCCUACCAAGGCGACGAUCCAUAGCUGGUCUGAGAGGAUGAUCAGCCACAUUGGGACUGAGACACGGCCCAAACUCCUGGGGGGGGGAGCAGGGGGGAAAAAGGAAAAAGGGGGGAGAGACGAAUCCAGCCGGGCCGGGAAGGUGGUGAAGGCGUUAAGAUUAUAAGGCUUUUUACACGAUGAAGUUAAGAAGGGAAGGAGGGAAAAAGCCCCGGGCAAACUUGGU